GACGAACGCUGGCGGCGUGCCUAAUACAUGCAAGUCGAGCGCAGGAAAUCGACGGAACCCUUCGGGGGGAAGUCGACGGAAUGAGCGGCGGACGGGUGAGUAACACGUAAAGAACCUGCCCUCAGGUCUGGGAUAACCACGAGGAAUCGGGGCUAAUACCGGAUGGGUCAUCGGACCGCAUGGUCCGAGGAUGAAAGGCGCUUCGGCGUCGCCUGGGGAUGGCUUUGCGGUGCAUCAGCUAGUUGGUGGGGUAAUGGCCCACCAAGGCGACGAUGGAUAGCCGACCUGGGAGGGUGAUCGGCCACACUGGGACUGAGACACGGCCCAGACUCCUACGGGAGGAAGCAGUAGGGAAUCUUCCAAAAUGGACGAAAGUCUGAUGGAGCAACGCCGCGUGAACGAUGAAGGCCUUCGGGUCGUAAAGUUCUGUUGUAAGGGAGGAACAAGUGCCGCAGGCAAUGGCGGCUCCUUGACGGUACCUUGCGAGAAAGCCACGGCUAACUACGUGCCAGCCGCCGCGGUAAGAC
rnacentral:rRNA from 1 species